rnacentral:rRNA from 1 species
ACACGGGGGGCGCAAGCGUUAUUCGGAAUUAUUGGGCGUAAAGGGCGCGUAGGCGGUUUUGUCGGUCAGAUGUGAAAGCCCGGGGCUGAACCCCGGACGUGCAUUUGAAACAGCAAGACUUGAGUACGGGAGAGGAAAGCGGAAUUCCUGGUGUAGAGGUGAAAUUCGUAGAUAUCAGGAGGAACACCGAUGGCGAAGGCAGCUUUCUGGACCGAUACUGACGCUGAGGCGCGAAGGCGUGGGUAGCGAACAGGAUUAGAUACCCGAGUAGUCC